rnacentral:rRNA from 1 species
GUUUGAUCCAGUCUCAUAAUCAACGCUGGCGGCGUGCCUAACACAUGCAAGUCGAACGAGAAAGGGGCUUCGGCCCUGAGUAGAGUGGCGGACGGGUGAGUAACACGUGGGUGAUCUGCCCUCCAGUGGGGGAUAACACAUCGAAAGGUGUGCUAAUACCGCAUGGAGUUCCGGUUGUCAUGAUCGGAAUGAAAGCAGCAAUGCGCUGGAGGAGGAGCCCGCCUCGGAUUAGCUAGUUGGUAGGGUAAUGGCUUACCAAGGCAACGAUCCGUAGCCGGCCUGAGAGGGUGACCGGCCACACUGGAACUGAGACACGGUCCAGACUCCUACGGGAGGCAGCAGUGGGGAAU